CCUACGGGAGGCAGCAGUCGAGAAUCAUUCUCAAUGGGGGAAACCCUGAUGGUGCGACGCCGCGUGGGGGAAUGAAGGUCUUCGGAUUGUAAACCCCUGUCAUGUGGGAGCAAAUUAAAAAGAUAGUACCACAAGAGGAAGAGACGGCUAACUCUGUGCCAGCAGCCGCGGUAAUACAGAGGUCUCAAGCGUUGUUCGGAAUCACUGGGCGUAAGGCGUGCGUAGGCUGUUUCGUAAGUCGUGUGUGAAAGGCGCGGGCUCAACCCGCGGACGGCACAUGAUACUGCGAGACUAGAGUAAUGGAGGGGGAACCGGAAUUCUCGGUGUAGCAGUGAAAUGCGUAGAUAUCGAGAGGAACACUCGUGGCGAAGGCGGGUUCCUGGACAUUAACUGACGCUGAGGCACGAAGGCCAGGGGAGCGAAAGGGAUUAGAUACCCCAGUAGUC
rnacentral:rRNA from 1 species